UACAGAGACUGCAAGCGUUAUUCGGAUUCACUUGGGCGUAAAGGGUGCGCAGGCGGUCGGGUGUGUCAGAUGUGAAAUCCCGGAGGCUCAACCUCGGAACUGCGUCUGAAACUACUCGACUAGAGUACUGGAGAGGGUAACGGAAUUCACGGUGUAGCAGUGAAAUGCGUAGAUAUCGUGAGGAACACCAGAGGCGAAGGCGGUUACCUGGACAGUUACUGACGCUCAGGCACGAAAGCAUGGGGAGCAAAAGG
rnacentral:rRNA from 1 species